rnacentral:pre_miRNA from 1 species
CCACCCUAAAACAUUCUAAGACGGUUGUUCAUAACCGCCUUAAAAUUUGCGUUGUAAAAAUCAAUUCUCAGCUUUGAUAAUUACAAGUUUGCCACCGCGUCACUUUAUAAGGUGGUUCCGAAUAACCGACUUAGAAAUCGCGUCGUAAA